UCGCCCUCUCCCUUUUCCAUCGCUGAUUGGCUGCGCGGGCUGUCACUCUGGCAAUCCUGCGUUCCUAUUGGCAGGGAGCGCGCUUCGCCCCGCCUUCCCCCGUCACCCCCAAGCCCUCAUGGCUGGUUGGAGCCCGGUCGCGUCGCGAUCGCUCGUGGGCUCUGAGGGGCCCCUCCUGCUUGUCCUUUAAGCCGCUGCUGCUCCAGUAGCGUCCCGAAUCCCUUCAGCAGCGGCUUAGCCGGCUCUGACGCAGGGCCCCCCCUUUUGGGGUGACCGAAGUGCUGAGGGACCCCCCGUGCCUCAUUCCCAGACCCAGAAGGCAGGAAAACGCUGCUCCAAGGGGGAUCCAGAGGUGUUUCCUUGCGAGUGAGCCAGUCCCAGGUCCAUCUCCACGCUCUCCUGGAGCCCCAGCAGCAGCUCCCACGUUCCAGCAGACCCCACACCCUCCCAAACAGGCAGCAGGUGAGUCCUGCACCCUCAGCCCUUCCCAAGGAAAAGGAGUGGGAGAGGUUUGCUCCUCUGGCAGGAGUGGUCAGCACGAAGCAGGAGGAGGAUGGGGACGACCCACGGCAGGGACAGGAGCUGAGGGACUCGGAGAUUGAAAGAGCUGCUGCUUCUGUUCUGGGGUUGAGGGUCUGGGGAAGAUCUGGAGAGUUUUCCCCAAAGAUUAAAUGUAGCUGUAAUGGAUUUAAAAAA